GGAUUACUGUGAGAUUGUUGGGAUUCUUUCAGGCUCUGAUAAUGUAUUUGAUCUUGAUGAUAAAUUGAGUCCUAUCAGCUCGUUGUCAUGUUGGACAUUUAACUCAUGAAGACCCUGUAGGGUCAAAGUGUUUCCUUUUUCAAUUCAAUUCAACUCAAU